GCUUUGGUGGCUUAGUGGUUAGAGUCUUCGCAUCGGUUGCGGGAGGUCGCGGGUUCAAACCCCGACCGAUUCA